GGAAAUGAGUGGAAAAAAGAGAUGCUUGCUAAGACACUAAGGUCUGUUGGGGUCAGAGGAUGGAACGGACUGAGUAAGAGAGUGGCAGACGGGACGAGUCGGGGGAAUGAUGGAGAAAAGGCGAGGAAGCAGUAAAGAGAGAGGAAAGCUGGAAGGAGGAGUGGAAGGAAAGAUCAAAUCAGGCAAUGCAGCAAAUGGCUUUGACAUCUGUAUUCCCACUUAGAGGACAGCCGAGCAGCAGAGAGGAGAUGAGAGUAGAGGCGAAACAGAACAAAGGAGAGAUUGGCAACGUAAAGCAUAAAACAACAAAGCGAACAGGCAGGAGAUCAGUUACAAAACAACCCCUUAAUACAGCCAAUGAGAAUCCCACCUCUCCCCAUCUGGUUGCAGGUGUGUGCGGAGUCAAGUUAAUGUGCUGGCAAAAUCAUUACAACAUUAUACAGUUAAAGUCCUCUGCAGUGGAAACAUCUUGACUGAAUCAUGACCAAAAAGGAAAGAAAAAAAAUCCAAAGCAG